CAAUGCUAAAAUGUCUCAUCCAUUCUGCCUAAUCUCUUUAGUACGGCGCUGAGAUGCCUCUCCAGCAGCCUGUAAUCAGCCAUCAUCCACCUUUAAAAAACAAAUAUACAUCUAAAAAAAGCCUCUGAGAUAGAUUACAGAAUAAGCCUAAGUUGUCAAAGGCGCACACUUGAGAAGCCAUGCACCUCACCUCGCCCCUGACAACAUACGUACAACCCUGUGAACAGAGUUAAGUUAUGAGUCAACUUAGUGGACAAAAACCCAAAAUAUUAUUAGCACAAUAGUGAAUUGCAAAGACUAUCAAUUUGAUGCGUAUAACCCCAAAAGAAAAGCUUCCCAAGUAUCUGAUAGUGUAAGUAAGACUGUAAGACAACUUACACCAGCUUU
rnacentral:lncRNA from 1 species